AUUGAACGCUGGCGGCAUGCUUUACACAUGCAAGUCGAACGGUAACAGGCCGCAAGGUGCUGACGAGUGGCGAACGGGUGAGUAAUGCAUCGGAACGUGCCCAGUCGUGGGGGAUAACGCAGCGAAAGCUGCGCUAAUACCGCAUACGAUCUGUGGAUGAAAGCGGGGGACCUUCGGGCCUCGCGCGAUUGGAGCGGCCGAUGUCAGAUUAGGUAGUUGGUGGGGUAAAGGCUCACCAAGCCGACGAUCUGUAGCUGGUCUGAGAGGACGACCAGCCACACUGGGACUGAGACACGGCCCAGACUCCUACGGGAGGCAGCAGUGGGGAAUUUUGGACAAUGGGGGCAACCCUGAUCCAGCAAUGCCGCGUGCAGGAAGAAGGCCUUCGGGUUGUAAACUGCUUUUGUACGGAACGAAAAGGCUCUGGUUAAUACCUGGGGCUCAUGACGGUACCGUAAGAAUAAGCACCGGCUAACUACGUGCCAGCCGCCGCAGUAAAAC
rnacentral:rRNA from 1 species